UACGGAGGAUGCAAGCGUUAUCCGGAAUGAUUGGGCGUAAAGCGUCCGCAGGCGGCUUUUUAAGUCUGUUGUCAAAGCCCACAGCUCAACUGUGGAUCGGCAAUGGAACUGGAAGCUAGAGUGUGGUAGGGGUAGAGGGAAUUCCCGGUGUAGCGGUGAAAUGCGCAGAUAUCGGGAAGAACACCCGUGGCGAAGGCGGUCUCUGGGACGGUACUGACGCUGAGACGCG
rnacentral:rRNA from 1 species